GAUGAACGCUCGCGGCAGGCCUAAUACAUGCAAGUCGGACGGGAUUCAGGAGCUUGCUUCUGAUGAGAGUGGCGCACGGGUGCGUAACACGUAUGUAACCUACCUUUAUCAGGGGGAUAGCCUCUCGAAAGAGAGAUUAAGCCCGCAUAAAAUCACAGCACAGCAUUGUGUAAUGAUCAAAUAUUUAUAGGAUAAAGAUGGGCAUGCGGAACAUUAGCUAGAUGGCGGGGUAACGGCCCACCAUGGCGACGAUGUUUAGGGGAUCUGAGAGGAUGGCCCCCCACACUGGUACUGAGACACGGACCAGACUCCUACGGGAGGCAGCAGUAAGGAAUAUUGGUCAAUGGGCGGAAGCCUGAACCAGCCAUGCCGCGUGCAGGAAGACGGCCCUACGGGCUGUAAACUGCUUUUAGACGGGAAUAAACCCAGAUACGUGUAUCUGGCUGAAUGUACUGUAAGAAUAAGGAUCGGCUAACUCCGUG
rnacentral:rRNA from 1 species